AAGACAUCUGGAAGAAGGAAGUAACAGCUAGCAGUCGCCACUAUGUUGACAGGCUAUUUGACCCUGAUCCCCAGAAAGUUCUACAAGGUGUCAUGUAAGUAGUAUGUAUUUAAGAGUCUAUCAAGUCUUUGUUUGUUUUCAUGUUUGAA